UACAGAGGCCCCAAGCGUUACUGAGAAUCACUGGGUUUAAAGGGUGCGUAGGUGGCGCGUUAAGUCCGUUGUGAAAUCCCUGGGCUCAACCCAGGAAUUGCUUCGGAUACUGGCGUGCUUGAGGCUAGUAGGGGUCACUGGAACUGACGGUGGAGCGGUGAAAUGCGUAGAUAUCGUCAGGAACGCCGAUGGUGAAGACAGGUGACUGGGCUAGUUCUGACACUGAGGCACGAAAGCGUGGGGAGCGAACAGG
rnacentral:rRNA from 1 species